rnacentral:rRNA from 1 species
GAUGAACGCUGGCGGCGUGCCUAAUACAUGCAAGUCGAGCGAACAGACGAGGAGCUUGCUCCUCUGACGUUAGCGGCGGACGGGUGAGUAACACGUGGAUAACCUACCUAUAAGACUGGGAUAACUUCGGGAAACCGGAGCUAAUACCGGAUAAUAUAUUGAACCGCAUGGUUCAAUAGUGAAAGACGGUUUUGCUGUCACUUAUAGAUGGAUCCGCGCCGCAUUAGCUAGUUGGUAAGGUAACGGCUUACCAAGGCAACGAUGCGUAGCCGACCUGAGAGGCUGAUCGGCCACACUGGAACUGAGACACGGUCCAGACUCCUACGGGAGGCAGCAGUAGGGAAUCUUCCGCAAUGGGCGAAAGCCUGACGGAGCAACGCCGCGUGAGUGAUGAAGGUCUUCGGAUCGUAAAACUCUGUUAUUAGGGAAGAACAAAUGUGUACGUAACUAUGCCCGUCUUGACGGUACCUAAUCAGAAAGCCACGGCUAACUACGUG